AUGCCGCUGCUGGGCGCCUUCGUCGCCGACUCCUGGCUCGGCCGCUACCGCUCCAUCAUCGUCGCCUGCACCCUCUACGUCCUGGUGAACCGGCAAUGGAUGUACGGUGACAGACACACCUCCGAGUAUAUUAAGGGCGUGCGUAAAUUUCUCGAAGUGGCUGAGGCAAACAAGCAGAAUGGUUUUAUGUGUUGUCCAUGCCCUGAUUGUGGGAAUACGAGGUCUUACUCUGACAAGAAAAUCCUUCAUACCCAGCUGCUUUAUAAGGGUUUCAUGCCACACUAUAAUGUUUGGACGAAGCACGGAGAAAUAGGGGUUAUGAUGGAAGACAACGAAGAAGAAGCGGACGAUGACAACUAUGUGCCCCCUGAAUACGGUGAUGCUGCAACGGGGGAAGUUGAAGAUCAAGAGGAAGCUGAAGAUCAAGAGGAACCAGACGAUGUGCCCGAUGAUGAUCUCUGCCGGGUCAUUGUUGAUGCAAGGGGAAAGUGCGAAAGUGAAAAGGAGAAGCUGAAGUUCGAUCGCAUGUUAGAGGAUCACAAAAAAAGGUUGUACCCCAAUUGUGAAGAUGGCAACACAAAGCUCGGUACCGUACUGGAAUUGCUGCAGUGGAAGGCAGAGAAUGAUGUGCCUGACAAAGGAUUUGAGAAGCUAUUGAAAAUAUUGAAGAAGAAGCUUCCAAAGGAUAACGAAUUGCUCGACAGUACGUACGUAGCAAAGAAGGUCAUAUGCCCACUAGGAUUGGAGGUGGAGAAGAUACAUGCAUGCCCUAAUGACUGCAUCCUCUACCGCGGUGCGUACAAGGAUUUGAACGCAUGCCCGGUAUGCGGUGCAUUGCGGUAUAAGAUCAGACGAGAUGACCCUGGUGAUGUUGAGGGCGAGCCCCGCAGGAAGAGGGUUCCUGCAAAGGUGAUGUGGUAUGCUCCUAUAAUACCACGGUUGAAACUACUGUUCAGAAACGAAGAGCAUGCCAAGUUGAUGCGAUGGCACAGUGAGGACCGUAAGAAAGACGGGAAGUUGAGAGCACCCACUGACAGGUCGCAGUGGAUAAAAAUCGAGAGAAAGUACUGGGCUCAGUUUGCAGGUGACCCAAGGAACAUAUGGUUUAAGCACGGAUGUCAUUAA
rnacentral:rRNA from 1 species